GAAAGAUUCAUCGGAAGAGGAUGGGCAUGCGGCGCAUUAGCUAGACGGCGGGGUAACGGCCCACCGUGGCGACGAUGCGUAGGGGUUCUGAGAGGAAGGUCCCCCACACUGGUACUGAGACACGGACCAGACUCCUACGGGAGGCAGCAGUGAGGAAUAUUGGUCAAUGGGAGAGAUCCUGAACCAGCCAAGCCGCGUGAGGGAAGACGGCCCUAUGGGUUGUAAACCUCUUUUGUCGGAGAACAAAACCCGGGACGAGUCCCGGACUGCGUGUAUCCGAAGAAAAAGCAUCGGCUAACUCCGUGCCAGCAGCCGCGGUAAUACGGAGGAUGCGAGCGUUAUCCGGAUUUAUUGGGUUUAAAGGGUGCGUAGGCGGUCUGUUAAGUCAGCGGUAAAAUUGCGGGGCUCAACCCCGUCGAGCCGUUGAAACUGGCAGACUUGAGUUGGCGAGAAGUACGCGGAAUGCGCGGUGUAGCGGUGAAAUGCAUAGAUAUCGCGCAGAACUCCGAUUGCGAAGGCAGCGUACCGGCGCCAGACUGACGCUGAGGCACGAAAGCGUGGGGAUCGAACAGGAUUAGAUACCCUGGUAGUCCACGCAGU
rnacentral:rRNA from 1 species